UNUGACUUGAGUGCAGAAGGGGAGAGUGGAAUUCCAUGUGUAGCGGUGAAAUGCGUAGAUAUAUGGAGGAACACCAGUGGCGAAAGCGGCUCUCUGGUCUGUCACUGACGCUGAGGCUCGAAAGCGUGGGUAGCGAACAGGAUUAGAUACCCUGGUAGUNCACGCCGUAAACGAUGAGCGCUAGGUGUUAGGCCCUUUCCGGGGCUUAGUGCCGGAGCUAACGCAAUAAGCACUCCGCCUGGGGAGUACGACCGCAAGGUUGAAACUCAAAGGAAUUGACGGGGGCCCGCACAAGCGGUGGAGCAUGUGGUUUAAUUCGAAGCAACGCGAAGAACCUUACCAGGUCUUGACAUCCCGAUGCUAUUCUUAGAGAUAGGAAGUUACUUCGGUACAUCGGAGACAGGUGGUGCAUGGUUGUCGUCAGCUCGUGUCGUGAGAUGUUGGGUUAAGUCCCGCAACGAGCGCAACCCUUAUUGUUAGUUGCCAUCAUUAAGUUGGGCACUCUAGCGAGACUGCCGGUAAUAAACCGGAGGAAGGUGGGGAUGACGUCAAAUCAUCAUGCCCCUUAUGACCUGGGCUACACACGUGCUACAAUGGUCGGUACAACGAGUUGCGAGCCGGUGACGGCAAGCUAAUCUCUGAAAGCCGAUCUCAGUUCGGAUUGGAGGCUGCAACUCGCCUCCAUGAAGUCGGAAUCGCUAGUAAUCGCGGAUCAGCACGCCGCGGUGAAUACGUUCCCGGGCCUUGUACACACCGCCCGUCACACCACGAGAGUUUGUAACACCCGAAGUCGGUGAGGUA
rnacentral:rRNA from 1 species